UGCUUUAGUCUUUUGGUCAUCAACACCAACAUUCAACUUCAUGCAAAGAUUUUUUAACUCCAAAAGAUCAUCAGUAACUCCAAUCUCAGAAGCCCCGGGAUCUGAUGGAAAAUACUUGUCUUUGAAAGUCUUUGCACAAGCACUGACAGCCAAGCGAAGAUUAGUAUUAACCAUUGGGACCUCAAUAGAACUCGGAGGCGAUCCAGCAAUUGUUGGAAUAAAAUUCUUGGAUUCUUCUGAUGUAUUUCCUUCAGAAUUUAAGUUACCACUGCGACGUUUGUAACGUCUAGAACGAGAUGAUGUUCCAGAUACAUAAUCAUUGUCCUUCUCAGCAGAAGAUACUUGGGUAGGAGUGGUAUUAGGAUUUCCAGAUAAGAUAAGUUGAUCUACAGCAUGUACCACACCCUCUCUAACAAACAUCUUCGAGAAAGUUCCAGGAAGCUUUUCCAUAAG
rnacentral:misc_RNA from 1 species